rnacentral:rRNA from 1 species
CACAAGCGGUGGAGCAUGUGGUUUAAUUCGACGAUACGCGAAGAACCUUACCUGGCCUUGACAUACUAAAAAGCUUUAAGAGAUUAGAGUGUGCUAGCUUGCUAGAAUUUAGAUACAGGUGCUGCACGGCUGUCGUCAGCUCGUGUCGUGAGAUGUGGGUUAAGUCCCGCAACGAGCGCAACCUCGUGUUUAGUUGCUAACAGUUCGGCUGAGAACUCUAAACAGACUGCCUACGCAAGUAGGAGGAAGGUGAGGACGACGUCAAGUCAUCAUGGCCCUUACGGCCAGGGCUACACACGUGCUACAAUGGGGUAUACAAAGAGCAGCGAUGCGGUGACGUGGAGCAAAUCUAGAAAAUGCCUCUCAGUUCGGAUUGUAGUCUGCAACUCGACUACAUGAAGUUGGAAUCGCUAGUAAUCGUAGAUCAGCAAUGCUACGGUGAAUACGUUCCCGGGUCUU